rnacentral:rRNA from 1 species
GACGAACGCUGGCGGCGUGCUUAACACAUGCAAGUCGAACGGAAAGGCCCUGCUUUUGGGGGGUGCUCGAGUGGCGAACGGGUGAGUAACACGUGAGUAACCUGCCCUUGACUUUGGGAUAACUUCAGGAAACUGGGGCUAAUACCGGAUAGGAGCUCCUGCUGCAUGGUGGGGGUUGGAAAGUUUCGGCGGUUGGGGAUGGACUCGCGGCUUAUCAGCUUGUUGGUGGGGUAGUGGCUUACCAAGGCUUUGACGGGUAGCCGGCCUGAGAGGGUAACCGGCCACAUUGGGACUGAGAUACGGCCCAGACUCCUACGGGAGGCAGCAGUGGGGAAUAUUGCACAAUGGGCGGAAGCCUGAUGCAGCAACGCCGCGUGCGGGAUGACGGCCUUCGGGUUGUAAACCGCUUUCGCCUGUGACGAAGCGUGAGUGACGGUAAUGGGUAAAGAAGCACCGGCUAACUACGUG